rnacentral:rRNA from 1 species
UAGGGAAUCUUCGGCAAUGGACGGAAGUCUGACCGAGCAACGCCGCGUGAGUGAAGAAGGUUUUCGGAUCGUAAAGCUCUGUUGUAAGAGAAGAACGAGUGUGAGAGUGGAAAGUUCACACUGUGACGGUAUCUUACCAGAAAGGGACGGCUAACUACGUGCCAGCAGCCGCGGUAAUACGUAGGUCCCGAGCGUUGUCCGGAUUUAUUGGGCGUAAAGCGAGCGCAGGCGGUUAGAUAAGUCUGAAGUUAAAGGCUGUGACUUAACCAUAGUAGGCUUUGGAAACUGUUUAACUUGAGUGCAAGAGGGGAGAGUGGAAUUCCAUGUGUAGCGGUGAAAUGCGUAGAUAUAUGGAGGAACACCGGUGGCGAAAGCGGCUCUCUGGCUUGUAACUGACGCUGAGGCUCGAAAGCGUGGGGAGCAAACAGGAUUAGAUACCCUGGUAGUCCACGCUGUAAACGAUGAGUGCUAGGUGUUAGACCCUUUCCGGGGUUUAGUGCCGUAGCUAACGCAUUAAGCACUCCGCCUGGGGAGUACGACCGCAAGGUUG